UUUUAUAUUCAUUCAUUUCAUCUCUAAAUGUUUCUUGAGUCCCUAAGUUUGGAGCUGUGGGCAGAACAAAGUGUAACAAGACUCAGAGAGGCAGAGGGGAGCCAAAUCACAAAGGAAGGUUCUCCCACCUUCUCCUUUUUCUUGUAGGCAGCGAGCAGGAGCUUCCAAACAGAGGCAUGAUUAGAGUGCAUCGUGUUUUGGCAAGUUGUGCCGGAAAGAUGUACAGGAUGCUGAUGAUGCAGCCAUCUCACAACCAUGAGGACAAAAGCCACAAGGCGGGGCUAGUGCAGGUGGGAAGAGAUCUCUGUGUAACCAGCACUCCAUCAAAGAUCAAACUUGUGUCUUUGGAACCAGGUCUAAGCCAGUCAUCAAACCACCAGAGCAACGGCAAACGUACCAAUGAGAGUGCUCUGAGCUACCUUUCUUUCUGUUUCUCCUCCCAAAGAUUCUGGGUUCCCACCUCACACAACUUUUUCAACAUAUCAUUUGUUUCCUCACAUCAAAUGCCUGAACCCAGUGGUCUGAAAACAACAACAUUUCCAGCAUCUUUCCUUCACUCUCAGCACAAGCAGAUGUCCACCUAGACCUGGAUGUUUAGAGCUGAAAGUUAGU